rnacentral:rRNA from 1 species
GGGAGCUUGCUCUUGUGGAUCAGUGGCGAACGGGUGAGUAACACGUGAGUAACCUGCCCUUGACUCUGGGAUAAGCGUUGGAAACGACGUCUAAUACCGGAUACGACCUUCAGCCGCAUGGCUAGGGGGUGGAAAGAUUUUUUGGUCAAGGAUGGACUCGCGGCCUAUCAGCUUGUUGGUGAGGUAAUGGCUCACCAAGGCGACGACGGGUAGCCGGCCUGAGAGGGUGACCGGCCACACUGGGACUGAGACACGGCCCAGACUCCUACGGGAGGCAGCAGUGGGGAAUAUUGCACAAUGGGCGCAAGCCUGAUGCAGCAACGCCGCGUGAGGGAUGACGGCCUUCGGGUUGUAAACCUCUUUUAGUAGGGAAGAAGCGAAAGUGACGGUACCUGCAGAAAAAGCACCGGCUAACUACGUGCCAGCAGCCGCGGUAAUACGUAGGGUGCAAGCGUUGUCCGGAAUUAUUGGGCGUAAAGAGCUCGUAGGCGGUUUGUCGCGUCUGCUGUGAAAACUGGAGGCUCAACCUCCAGCCUGCAGUGGGUACGGGCAGACUAGAGUGCGGUAGGGGAGAUUGGAAUUCCUGGUGUAGCGGUGGAAUGCGCAGAUAUCAGGAGGAACACCGAUGGCGAAGGCAGAUCUCUGGGCCGUAACUGACGCUGAGGAGCGAAAGCGUGGGGAGCGAACAGGAUUAGAUACCCUGGUAGUCCACGCCGUAAACGUUGGGAACUAGAUGUGGGGGCCAUUCCACG